AGUGAACGCUGGCGGUAGGCCUAACACAUGCAAGUCGAACGGCAGCACAGUAAGAGCUUGCUCUUACGGGUGGCGGGUGGCGGACGUGUGAGGAAUACAUCGGAAUCUACUUUUUCGUGGGGGAUAACGUAGGGAAACUUACGCUAAUACCGCAUACGACCUACGGGUGAAAGCAGGGGAUCUUCGGACCUUGCGCGAUUGAAUGAGCCGAUGUCGGAUUAGCUAGUUGGCGGGGUAAAGGCCCACCAAGGCGACGAUCCGUAGCUGGUCUGAGAGGAUGAUCAGCCACACUGGAACUGAGACACGGUCCAGACUCCUACGGGAGGCAGCAGUGGGGAAUAUUGGACAAUGGGCGCAAGCCUGAUCCAGCCAUACCGCGUGGGUGAAGAAGGCCUUCGGGUUGUAAAGCCCUUUUGUUGGGAAAGAAAAGCAGCAGGUUAAUACCCCGCUGUUCUGACGGUACCCAAAGAAUAAGCACCGGCUAACUUCGUG
rnacentral:rRNA from 1 species